rnacentral:tRNA from 1 species
GCCUGGCUGGCUCAGUCAGUAAAGCAUCUGACUCCAGGUCGGGUCAUGAUCUCACAGUUUGUGGGUUCGAGCCCCGCGUCGGGCU